rnacentral:tRNA from 1 species
GUCAGGAUGACCGAGCUGUCUAAGGCGAUGCGUUCAGGUCGCAGUCUACUCUUGUAGGCGUGGCUUCGAAUCCCACUUCUGACA